rnacentral:rRNA from 1 species
GACGAACGCUGGCGGCGCGCUUAACACAUGCAAGUCGAAUGGAAAGGCCUGCUUUCCCUUGUGGUUUUCGGGUACUCGAGUGGCGAACGGGUGAGUAACACGUCAGUGAUCUGCCCCCAACUUAGGUAUAAGCCUGGUAAACUGGGUCUAAUUCCCGAUAGGACUGCAGGGUGGUGCAUGUGAUGGAAAACGAUCUUCUAGUGGUUGGGGAUGAGCUGGCGGCCUAUCAGGUUGUUGGUGGGGUAGUGGCCUACCAAGGCGGCGACGGGUAGUCGGCGUGAGAGGGUGGACGGUGACAUUGAGACUCGGUCACGGCCCAGACGCGUAGCGGAAGCAGGAGUGCGGAAGAUUGCACAAUAGGCGUAAGCCUGAUGCAGCGAGGCAGUGUUGAAGGUGACGGGAUUGGGGUUGUAAGCUCCUUUCGAAGGCGAGGAAGCUAACUGGUUGGACGGGUGGUGACGGUAGUGGUAGAAGAAGCACCGGCUAACUACGUG